rnacentral:rRNA from 1 species
UACAGGGGGUGCAAACGUUGCUCGGAAUCAUUGGGCGUAAAGCGCACGUAGGCGGUUCGUUAUGUCGGAUGUGAAAGCCCUUGGCUUAACCGAGGAAGUGCAUCCGAAACUGGCGAGCUAGAGUACGAAAGAGGAUCGCGGAAUUCCCGGUGUAGAGGUGAAAAUUCGUAGAUAUCGGGAGGAACACCGGUGGCGAAGGCGGGGUCUCUGGGCAACAACUGACGCUGAGGAGCGAAAGCGUGGGGAGCGAACAGG